GAGGGUAUAGUUCAAGUGGUAGAGUGCAUGCCUAGCAUGCAUGGGGUCUUGGGUUCAAUCCCCAGUGCGUCCU
rfam:Camelus ferus unplaced genomic scaffold scaffold699, whole genome shotgun sequence.